AUUGAACGCUGGCGGCAGGCCUAACACAUGCAAGUCGAACGGUAACAGGGAUCAGCUUGCUGAUUCGCUGACGAGUGGCGGACGGGUGAGUAAUGUCUGGGAAACUGCCUGAUGGAGGGGGAUAACUACUGGAAACGGUAGCUAAUACCGCAUAACGUCGCAAGACCAAAGAGGGGGACCUUCGGGCCUCUUGCCAUCGGAUGUGCCCAGAUGGGAUUAGCUAGUAGGUGGGGUAACGGCUCACCUAGGCGACGAUCCCUAGCUGGUCUGAGAGGAUGACCAGCCACACUGGAACUGAGACACGGUCCAGACUCCUACGGGAGGCAGCAGUGGGGAAUAUUGCACAAUGGGCGCAAGCCUGAUGCAGCCAUGCCGCGCGUAUGAAGAAGGCCUUCGGGUUGUAAAGUACUUUCAGCGGGGAGGAAGGGAGUAAAGUUAAUACCUUUGCUCAUUGACGUUACCCGCAGAAGAAGCACCGGCUAACUCCGUG
rnacentral:rRNA from 1 species